GAUGAACGCUGGCGGCGUGCCUAAUACAUGCAAGUCGAGCGAACAGACGCUGAGCUUGCUCCUCUGACGUUAGCCGCGGACGGGAGAGAAACACGUGGAUCACCUACCUAUAAGACUGGGAUAACUUCGAGAAACCGGAGCUUAUACCGGAUAAUAUAUUGCACCGCAUGGUUCAAUGGUGAAAGACGGUUUUGGUGUCACUUAUAGAUGCUUCCGGGCCGCAUUAGCUAGUUGUUAAGGUAACGGCCUACCAAGGCAACCAUGCGUGACCGACGGGAGGGAGGGAUAGGCGACCCUGGAGGUGAGACAGCGUCCAGACGCCUACGGGAGGCAGCAGAAGGGAAUCGUCCGCAAAGGUCGAAAGCUUGACGGAGCAACGCCGCGUGAGUUAUGAAGGUCUUCGGAUCGUAAAACUCUGUUACUAGUGAAGAACAAAUGUGUAAGGAACUAUGCAGGUAUUGACGGUACCGAAUAAGAAAGCAACGGCUAACUACGUG
rnacentral:rRNA from 1 species